rnacentral:lncRNA from 1 species
GUUGCAGGGAAAAAGAAAUCCUUGCAUCUCCAAGAGCAGGGUUCUAGUUGCACCACAAGAAAGUGAUUUCUCAGUACCACUGGAAUGUGGUUUCUAGUACAGAAUUUCUGCUUACAGUAUUCUCCUGUCAUCUGUUGUAUUUAAAGAAUGAAAUUAAAGGAGGAAAUAUUUUGUUAUUAUAGAUCAAAUAAAUUAAGUCCCAGUUAAAUUAAUAGCUUGUUGAGUUAUCCAUAAGACAUUUUAUUUUUCUUUGUGUCUCAUUCAUACAAAGUAGUAUAAAUGUUGCUCUAAUGGCUAUUAGCAUGUGAUGCAACACAUACUGUUUUUGUAGGGCAGUGCCAAAAAGAUAGUUCUUCUAGAGCAAAAUUAUGUGGCCAAGAGACUUUAGAAAUGCCAAUUCAGUGUUUUCCAAGCUGUGUUCUUAUUACUGUGACUGUUAUGAAAAAGAAAGGAGGAGAAAAAAAAAAAAGAGAGGGAAACAAAACCACAUAACUGGUGUGGUUUUAGCAUUUGGAGAUAAAACAAACUAACAAAAAUAAACCAAACAAACUGAAAGCCCACCUCACAGUGUAGCAAUUGUAUGUGUUAGGACUUUGUGCUUUGAGGGAAGAAGUAACCUUGCUAUGCAACACCAGCCUAACGCAGUAAGGACUUUCCUUCCCCAGAGCCCAACAACAAAGGCAAUGGAGUAAAAAUCCUGAUCUGUUCUGUGGGUUACUAAUAGAUCUUUGUGUUCCCAAAGAAAAUAGAGCCUUUGGCAGAAACUAUAAUCUGUCAAAAGCUUUUUGGAGGAAUAGAAGGCUCAGAGGGAAGCUGGGAAGGAAAACUGGGGAAAAAGAUGCAGUGUGGGUAUCUCUGUUGCUCGGUAGCUUGAAGGUCAAUUUUGCAUUGUAAAGCAAGGCUCUGGACUUACAGUCCUCAGCUUGACUGCAUCUUCCUGAAGGAAUAGGGGAAGAGUCCGUGCUUGGAGAUACUCCUGCCCCCGUGCUGAUGGUUUGAUCCUACCAGAGAAAUAGGUGAAAAGCAGUGCUGAGGGAAAGCACCAUCCAGUUUUGAUGAGUGGAGAACAUCAUACUAAGGGAAUUCUGCACUUCAGUGUGUAGUCUACUUCUCUUCUGAUAGUACAAUCACAAACAUCCGUUUGGUUACAGCUUUUACUGGAAGUGGGCAAAUUGGCAGAAAAACCUUAAGGCGGUGCCAAGCCAAGGCAUCUGGUUUGCUUCCACAUGUCCAAACACCAGUAAUACCUAUAAAGCUAUCUACAGACAUGUAAGAUACAAAAAUAUAUUAAGUGGUAUACAUGUUAAAGUUGUUGCUGAGAAAUAAUGACAGUAAUUAUUUUCACCGGCUCUUUCUUUUCUUUGGCAUGCCCACAUCUGUGAGCCUGGAGACAAGUCAGACCUGGAAAAUGUGUUGGAGUUUGGAUUUCAGAUUAACCACCUUCUCAGCAGUCCUUUGGCAACAGGUUGGAUCCAAUAACUGAUGUAUAUUGUGGUUUUGGUAUGGACCUCAUGAGUCGGGAGCUGCAGAAGUUACCUUCCUCAAAUUAACUUCAGAGUAAGUCUUCCCUGGAUGGGACGAUAUAGAAUUAUGGUUCUAUUUAAAACCAAGAAUGGAAGAUUAAUACUGACAAUUACAACUACCAGUUGAAUCUAUUUCAGUAUUUGUUGGCACGGGUGACUGCUCUCCGUCCUUUCCCAACUCAGCCAGACAAACUCAUUUGUAAUUAACAGAUUGGUGGCUGAAAAAAAAUCUAUUCACCUCACCAGUUUUGAUGUUUUAGAAAGGCUUACACAGAAAAGAGGAUAAUAUCUGGGUUGCAUUCCAUGGAUAUCCUCACAUAUCCUGAGCACAGAAGAGAAGUAGUAUGUAGUAUAAACCGGUGUCUAAAAGUUUAAAGACUUCUCAUUAGUGCUUUCUAAGAUAUUAUUUUGUGGCAACUGUCCUUUUUUUUUCUUUUCAGGAUGUUGUUGUGAUUUAACUAGAGAACUUGUCUCAUUUUAGAAUAAUAUUAAGUUCUUAUCACUUGACUGUAUGUCUACAUGUAGAUUUUGGGCAUUUAAAUUAAAGGAUCAUGUCGC